GCACAAUAACAGACAAGAUGUAAUGGUACUUUAGCAGGCUAACCAGCUGUAGCAAGCUCAAAGUUAUAGAUUAGGUUAGCUGCUCCUCUACAUUUCCAGACUAUUUUGUGGCUUCAAAUAUGUUUGAAGAGCUGUCU